AUCCUUCUCUUCCUAUGUGUUGCAGCAUUAGUAGUAGCAGCAUUUUGUUAUCAUCAAAAGAAAGGACAAGAUACAAGAGAGAUCCGGGAGAAUACAGUAUAUGAAGUUCCUCAGGUGAGCAUCAAGUUUUUUUCUGACACACUGAGGAACACAAUUUCAAUAAUAUAUACCAGUUUGAGGAUAAUGGCAAAGUAAAAAAAAGUUUUUUAAAU